rnacentral:rRNA from 1 species
CUGGGCGUUAAGUUGCAGGGUAUAGACCCGAAACCCGGUGAUCUAGCCAUGGGCAGGUUGAAGGUUGGGUAACACUAACUGGAGGACCGAACCGACUAAUGUUGAAAAAUUAGCGGAUGACUUGUGGCUGGGGGUGAAAGGCCAAUCAAACCGGGAGAUAGCUGGUUCUCCCCGAAAGCUAUUUAGGUAGCGCCUCGUGAAUUCAUCUCCGGGGGUAGAGCACUGUUUCGGCAAGGGGGUCAUCCCGACUUACCAACCCGAUGCAAACUGCGAAUACCGGAGAAUGUUAUCACGGGAGACACACGGCGGGUGCUAACGUCCGUCGUGAAGAGGGAAACAACCCAGACCGCCAGCUAAGGUCCCAAAGUCAUGGUUAAGUGGGAAACGAUGUGGGAAGGCCCAGACAGCCAGGAUGUUGGCUUAGAAGCAGCCAUCAUUUAAAGAAAGCGUAAUAGCUCACUGGUCGAGUCGGCCUGCGCGGAAGAUGUAACGGGGCUAAACCAUGCACCGAAGCUGCGGCAGCGACGCUGAUGCGUUGUUGGGUAGGGGAGCGUUCUGUAAGCCUGCGAAGGUGUGCUGUGAGGCAUGCUGGAGGUAUCAGAAGUGCGAAUGCUGACAUAAGUAACGAUAAAGCGGGUGAAAAGCCCGCUCGCCGGAAGACCAAGGGUUCCUGUCCAACGUUAAUCGGGGCAGGGUGAGUCGACCCCUAAGGCGAGGCCGAAAGGCGUAGUCGAUGGGAAACA